UACGUAGGGGGCGAGCGUUGUCCGGAUUUAUUGGGCGUAAAGAGCUCGUAGGCGGCUGUUCGAGUCGGGUGUGAAAUCCUGAGGCUUAACCUUGGGUCUGCAUUCGAUACUGGGCGGCUUGAGUCUGGUAGGGGGAUCUGGAAUUCCUGGUGUAGCGGUGGAAUGCGCAGAUAUCGAGAGGAACACCAGUGGCGAAGGCGAGUCUCUGGACAUUUCCUAACGCUGAGGCACGAAAGCCAGGGGAGCAAACGGG
rnacentral:rRNA from 1 species